GGGAAAAUGGCUCAGUGGUUAAGAGCACUGACUGUUCUUCCAGAGGUCCUGAGAUCAAUUCCCAGCAACCACA
rnacentral:tRNA from 1 species